AAUAGGUUAUUACUUCGCCAUAUCCAGUUAUUUUUAUGUCAUGUUUAAUAUUUUCUACAUACGAAUACCCAAACAUUUAAAGGAAAAUGUUGACCAAAUUAGAAAACUAAAUCGAUCAAAGGUAGUGAGUCUUCUUGUAAAAUCUUAAACCUGAGAACAAGUGUGUCUCGUGUGCAAGUGGGGUAGAUAGGAAUAUUGCAUUGCCUUCUCCAGAACAGCCUAAUCCUUAAUUACAAAAGCAGCGGUUUAUUUAGCACUAGCAAUACAAUUAUUUAGCACUGCGUCACAUUGUCAUAUAGCUGGCGGUCAACACUAAGGCUUUUAGGCAGCAUACCUAGUCAAAUACGUUUCUACAAAUGCAAACACGUGCUCAUAUACAGCAUUAUCCAUAGAGUCAGUUGCUUAAAGCAGAGUUUUAUACAGCUGUGCCUAAUUCUUAAUUACAAAAGCUAUGGUUUGUACAACAUUAUCCAUACAGUUAGUUACUUAAAGACUGCAUCACAUUCUCAUAUAGCUGGCGGUCCACAGUAAGGCUUUUAGGCAGCAUACCUAGUGCCUCAAGCCUAUCUUUGUCCAUGUGAGGAAUCUUGUAUCUAUUUCCACCACCAUCUUUCAUUACCUCAAUCAAAUAGCCUUGUAGUGUGAGAAAAACCCUAUUCAAAGUAGAUGGAUCAUAUUCAUUGAAUUCUUUUUGCACAUUUGCAAUCAGCUCAUCUAUGCUCCCAGAGAUCGUACCAUAGGCUAAGGAUUGAAGAGAAUUAAAGAAGCCUAGGUCUAGUACAUUCAUAUUCGGGGAAUUUGGAGGUUGGUUGAUGAUCCGUAUGUCCAUCCCUGUCUGUGCUACAGCAGCAGCAAAUUGUUCAUCAUUCACUGGCACGUGAGAAGGGGCAUUAUCUUGCUGGAUCCAAAUGGUCCUUCUUGCAUCUUCUCGAGGCCAUCGUGCAACAAUAGCUGGCAGAACUUUAGCAAUCAUAUACGACCUCAUCAUAUCUCGAUUUACCUUGAUACACUUGGUGACUAGGGUUCCCCUUCCUCUAUUACGGCUUCUUCGUUUUGCUGGUUCCUGUAUGAAAUGAAUUGGAAGUAAGGAUCACAAAUUAGAACCGCAAAUUAAUGUAAGAAAGUGAAAAAAGUGUGGUACCUUUCUGAUAAACGCCCACACUCCUAUCUUUCCAUCAAAAGUACAUUUACCUGCAUCAUCAUAUCUAGGUCUGGCCACUGCCGUCAAUAACAUAACUUUGCCAAUAGAAUUUUUAUUUUGCACAGUCCUAUAUGGGUCCUCCUCUUCCGGGAGUAAAUAGUAGGUCAUGUCCUUUUUUGUGGUGUUGUACCACUUCUCAUCUUGGUGGAUGAUGUUUUCCAUGUCAAUGAACUUAGGUUCAUUUGGUAAUGUCCUUUGAUCUAACAUGCAAAUACACCACCGUAGUCUGUCUUUCUUGUUUCCUUCCUUCAAUAGAGGUUUUAGUGUGUUGGAGUGGUGUCGUAGUUUCCCUUCCUUGAACCACCUGUGUACAGUGCUCUUUGGUACACCAAUGGCUUUAGCUAGAGAUCAUAUAUUAGUCCUCUUAUGCAAGGGAACUCUAAGAACCUCUGAUAGAUGUACUUGUUUUUUUUGCACCCACAGUUCAUUGGCUUCCUUGAUCUAACAUCCACCGGUCUUCCUUGUGCACGGCACUCCUUAACCCUCCGCCAAACACGUUGCACUUGAUACCUACUAACCUAUAACAUUUCAGCAACUCUAGUUGUGGUGUUCCUCUUUAACCUUCCAAGCACACUUCUCUCAAGCAAUGCUGCAUAAAUUGCAAGCCUUUCAGCUUCUGUCAAGUUUUUGGAUCGAUGUGCAGUGUUUCCAUUUGCAUGGUCACGUUCAAAAUCCAAGUCCUCGAAUUCAUCUUCAUCAAAGGCAAUGUCCAUAGCAUCAACGUACUCCAUCAUGUCUACGAAAAAGGAGAGUACGUAGUCAGUCCUACCUAACACUGAAGACCAAAGAUAGAAGGUAUCAUAGUUCUGGAAAGCAGAUGGGUCAUUCCGUUUGUUCUAUUACUAGGCUGGUAGCAUAUUUUCUUGUGAUAGAAAGCGGGCUGGAAGUAUAUUUAUGGUAAGCAUGUGGGCACUAAAAAUGAUUACAUUUUUCUUCUAAUGAUCUAAUUUGUUUUGCUGCUCUUGUAAUGAACGUGCAUCAUUUAGGAAUCAACAUGAGAAAAAUGUUGUUAUGGGUGGUAGCCUAUGUUAUGACUAUGAACAAGACUUAUUAGACUGAUGUAACUAAAAGAAGGAAUUACCUUCAUUUGGUUGUUGCAGCUCAAAAGGAUCAACAUUGAGAUCAAGUAAGGGAUGUCCAUGCAUAGCAACCUGCUCAUCUUCCUGGAGGAGGUGGGACUGAGUUUCUUGGAGCCAAUGGACUUCAUCAUCCACCAGGACAUGGACCUCAUCUUUUUGGAGAUGCUGGAUUUCAUCCUCUUGCUCAUCUGCUGGUGGUUCUUCAUUCAGAUCAGGCUGGAGUGGAUGAUGACUCAUUUGGUCACUGGAGCUCAUGCUACGUUUCUUACAAGGGGAAGGGCAGGCUUGAGAUCAUGAUGGGUUUAUAUAGUGGGGACUGCUGCAAUGGCGGUUCAGUUCAAAUUUUGAAUCUCUAUGUAAUGACGCCAUUUUGUUCUAUUGAUUUUUAUGGUCCGGGACCUUCCAGUUUUUUUUUUUUGAAGAAAGUGGGACCUUCCAGAUAGCAUACGUGGAGGCACGGUAGCCUCAAGUGUAACAUGUCUGCCACGGCAUGUCAGUUCUAUAAAAAAAGGAUGUUACAUGUCAGAGAGAACUGAGUAAAUGAUUAAAAAUAUUUCUGGUCACAUUCAUAUA